rnacentral:rRNA from 1 species
GAUGAACGCUGGCGGCGUGCCUAAUACAUGCAAGUCGAGCGAACAGACGAGAAGCUUGCUUCUCUGAUGUUAGCGGCGGACGGGUGAGUAACACGUGGAUAACCUACCUAUAAGACUGGGAUAACUUCGGGAAACCGGAGCUAAUACCGGAUAAUAUUUUGAACCGCAUGGUUCAAAAGUGAAAGACGGUCUUGCUGUCACUUAUAGAUGGAUCCGCGCUGCAUUAGCUAGUUGGUAAGGUAACGGCUUACCAAGGCGACGAUGCAUAGCCGACCUGAGAGGGUGAUCGGCCACACUGGAACUGAGACACGGUCCAGACUCCUACGGGAGGCAGCAGUAGGGAAUCUUCCGCAAUGGGCGAAAGCCUGACGGAGCAACGCCGCGUGAGUGAUGAAGGUCUUCGGAUCGUAAAACUCUGUUAUUAGGGAAGAACAAAUGUGUAAGUAACUGUGCACAUCUUGACGGUACCUAAUCAGAAAGCCACGGCUAACUACGUG